AAAAGGAGAGCUGAAAGCUUUACUCUCCGAUCAGAGAAUGAAGGAGUGGCAGCCUGUGCUAUAGAGCACAUGCUCUCCCAGACGGGCUGUGGGAGUGGCUACUUUGUAGGAAUCUCAGGUGCACGGAGGGAGGGCGCGGAGUUCUUCCUAUGCAGGCGCAGCUGUGCUGCUCAAGCUGCAGACGCGGUGCUGAGGGCACCGUCUCUGCGCAGGGCCGCUGCCGCCAUCUUGGAUUGAGUGUCGUUCUGUGCUUUUGCUGAGCUGAGGUGGCGGCGCAGCUGUUUUGCACCAGCGACCCUGGGCUGGAGAGCCAGGGACGGGGCCUUGGCCUGAGACCCCUGUGAGCAGGUGACACGAGAUUGAGCCCCAAGGGAAAGAAGAAGGGUUUAUCGACGGGCCCCUAAAACUUGGUCUCCUCAAAGAUUUUUUGGUUGUGGAUGAAUGUAAGGUGAGGUGUGUGCUUUCAAGGACCUGUUUUCAAGUGUGCCUUGGGAUUUCUCUGUUUCAAAAAUGGACCAAAAGAAUUUUGAUGAGGAGUAUAUCACUGCAAUCAAUGACAGAGUGAAGAUACCACUAUUUCAUCAAAUGUUUCUUUUAAACUGACCUACUUUGUCUUAUUUCAGAGUGAUUUCAGUUCGGCCUCACUGUAAAAUAAAUGUGCAUCCUGAGUAAAACAAGUGGUAAC